CAAUAAGCAGAGACACAUACAUCUAAUUAACAUUAACAAUGGCCUCAAUCUUGAACAGGGGUGGACUAGCUCUGGCUCUCAUUACUCUCAUCAUUGUCGGCUCGUCUUUUCGAACUAUCUCAGUGGCGGAUGCGCGAAGGCCAUACAACCGCGUUCGCAUACUAGCUAGCGACUGCAAUUCACCAAGACAAGGAGAAGUAGCCAGGUACGAUGUGGCGACAGACGUAGAAGUGGUGGAUCAUCGAGACCCGGAACAACAAGUCAUUCAUCACCUGUAGGUUCGAGCCAUUGUAGCAACGGUUGGUGCAGAACGAACAAAUUUGGCAACUGCAUAUGUUGCUUGUAGCCUAGUAGCAUUGGACUCUAUGUCGCAUUUGUAGCGAAUAGUUCAAACAUUUUGUGACUCACUAGUUGGUCACUUGGUUUGUUAGCUUUCUUCUAAGUUUUAGGAACUUUUCCCUAGUUAAAGUAGUUCCUAACGCUUUCUUUUUCCAUGUUAAGUAGUUAGUGGUACUUUUUCAUCUAAUGCUUUGUAUGUCCCCUCUGUUUGAUCAUGCAAUAACUGUGCUAGUUGGACGAUUCUGAGUUAAA